UAAAAAUACAUACCCCAUAAACAACAAACAUUUAAUUGACCAACAUUUCCUUUUCACUUACUUCCCUUUUUAAAAAUAAGAAGCAGGGAACAAGGAUAACACAAACAGUAACCUCUUCUAACCUUAUUAAUGUUGAUGAAAUAAAAGGAAAGGAAAGGAAAUAGCUGAAAUCUAUUGUUCUUCCUUUGAGUUUGGGGUGGCCUCCAUCUUUUUCUCCCCUUUCUUGAAGUCAAUCAGGGGUGCUUUUGCCUUUCUUUCUACAUCCUACCUUUUAAAGCCUUAUUUUCUAGAGAGUGGACAUACACAUGUGAUAAUCAUGGUAUUUCCUCUGAAUGGUGCAUUACAAUUUGAUUGGUAAAUCAUAUAUAUAUAUAUUUUUUUACUGCUUGGAGAUACUGUAAAAAAAUUUCAAUGCAAUUGGAAUAUAUUCAAAUGAAUAUAUAUUGAGGCAUUGAAAGCGUUGAGUUAUCAAUAUUAGAAGUGUUAUAUACAAGUCAGACUACCUAGGUUUGAUUUGGGCUUCCGUUUAAAAUGCAAUUGCUUUUGGGCAAGUUAUUUAACCUUUCAUCUGAAUAACUGGGAUAAUAAAAUACAUCUCUUAAGUUGUGAGAAUUAGAUAUGUCAGUAUAUUUAAAGCUCUUACAACAGUGUAUAGUACAUGAUAAAUGUUCCAUAAAUAUUCGCUAUUAUGUAAUAAUACCUAUUUUAUUAUAUAUGAUAUGUUAGUAUUACUACUAAACAAUUAAAUCAAAAGGGACAAGAGAUAUCAAAAUGAAACAUUUGAGUGUGAUGUGUAAAAAUGAAUAUGCCUGUUAACAGCUAGGUCUUUCAAGUUCUUGAAUCAUUUAAAGCAAAAAAGAUUUUCUUUAUUCAAUAAUCAUAAAUAGCGACUCUUAGGGAGAACAGAAUUCCUAUAUUGUUCUUUGUUACUCUCCUUUCAUAUAACCAGCUAUAUUUAAUAGCUACUCUGUUAUUAAGUGUAUUUUAAACAACUAUUAUGUAAGUGAACUAUAUGAAAGAGUUUUAUUCAACCGUAUUUUGUGCUUGUUAGUAAAAUAUUUUUAUAUAAUAAUUAAUAAAAGUUCUAUUCAUUGGUAACUUUUAGAAAUAGACUUUGUAACACAGUGAUAAUCUGCUAACAUAAUCAAGAUCAUGUCUCUUAAAAAAAACCCCAAAACCUCAAAUAAGGUUUAAGAUCCUUGUUCUCAGACUUGGGGAGCUUAAAAAUAAUUUUGGCAACGUUUGUGAUAUGGUGGUUUUGGCUACCAUGUUCCCCCCCAUUUUGUUGCCUGAAAUGCCUUUCCUCAAAGUUUUCAGAUUUGGUGAUUUGCUUUCUGAAUAGAGAUAUGAGGAUCUUCCAUCAAAAAGAUUCAGUGUAAUUCUUUUAUCAGAGUGUGAGUUGCUAGCUACAAGAAACAGAUGCCUUUUUUUUGCAUUGCACCAUUUACAAAAUGUAGUCAUACCAAACAAUCAAAAAAAAUCCCUCAGAUAAGCCUCAGAUAAACCUUAUAGGAAGAUGAAUAACACAGAGAUUGUAAGUUGGUUUAGAAUGCAAUGAUACAUAGCAAAUACCAAAGAAGCAUCAAUUCCUGGUGUGGAAAUAAUGGCAUUAAGCAAACUUAUUCCUUUUCCUUUCAGUAGGUUAAAAAUGGACACAUUGUAAUUAAAAUUAUUUGAAAUGGAAAACAAACGUAAAUCUUCUUUCCUAAAAUGUUGACUAUGAGUUUUUCCAUGAAUACUAGUUUUCACCAUCUCAAAAACUUUCACAUUAAGAGCAUUUGAAAGCAAAUAAACAGUAAUUAUUAUUGACCUUUUUAUAAUGGUCAGAAUCUGGAAGUAAUAAACUCUGUGUAAAUCUUUAUAGGAACUGAGGUAACUAAGGAGUAUCAUCCUAAUUAGGAUGUUUUUGUUGUGUAGUUACAUAUGUUGAUUCUGAAAACAUUGAUUUUGCCGAAAGAAAGGAAAAGAAUGGGAGAGAUACAGGCAGACUGAAGCAAUAGAGCAACACAUUUCCAUAACUAAUAAUCUUUCAUAGAUAUAUUGGCUCUGAUGGGAGCCCACAUAGAUGCCUGGAAAGAUCGAAUCAAAUUGGGCCAGUUUAAAGUGGGGAGUGGGUAUCACUGCAAGUGGGACUAGAUCAUUAUGGUUGAUGAUGACAAGUUACUGUUAUUUUGACUGAGAAUAUCAUUAUGCAAUAUAUUAGUUAAAUUGUUGAGCCUUUUAUUUAACUUUCAUCAGUUUCAGACUUGAGGCUGGUUAUGCUUGCUUUUGGUCAUUGCUAAAACUCUUACUGUUUCUCUGGGAACCACAUUCUCUGUGCUUUUUCGCCUUCCCUGUUCUGCCUCCCCUUUUCUUGAAGUGUUUCUUUUGUUUGUCUCCAUUACACCAGCACGCAGGGACACAGUGUUUCUGCACAGUGGGAGUUGGCAAUCUCCGAAGAGCCUUUCCAGCAUUGCUUUUUAGAAUGAAAUCAUUACAAUCUUCAAUAGCUACUUGGAUUAAAAAAAAAAAAAAGGAAAGAAAGAAACUAGCACAUUAUUAUUCUCAAAACCAUCUCAAUGUAAAAAGAGGCUAUUUGCUUGGUCCUCCUCAACUCCCCCUUCCCCCAUUCUCCUGCAAUCCUUGCUCAUCUUGCUCCUUUUCUCUCUGGAUGUGUUUCCUUCACACCUAAGUUUCGUUUGCAUGGUCCUGAUUCACUAAUUCUAUUCAAACCGAGUAUACAAAUGCAUUUUUUUCUGUUGGUUUUGAAUAUUUUUACACUGCUUAUGCAAAGGAGUAGAGUCAGAUAUAUCUUGCAUUCGUUGAUAUUUGAAUUAUUACCUUCGAGAAUGUGAAAUAUUCUGGUACUGACCCAAGGUAAUUUUUCAAAUGCAGGAGUUAUUAGCAUGUGUUUAGUUGAUGGGAAAGUUGCUUUAGUAAUGACCUGCAACUAAUUUUUAAGUAGGUGAGAACUCUUGUUUAUCGUUACUCAUGUAUCAAACACUCCUACCCUGUGCUUUUCUCCAGGUCCUGAGUGCUUGCUUUUCAUCAGUAGUAACAUUUGUUUUAUACACAUGCCCAGGAGUGACCCUAGGUGCACAGUGGAAACUCAGGGCAUGAGGAGCUGUUUGCAAUGCCUUCACCCUGUGAAAGGGAUUAGUGUAUGCCAACACAUAAUAUUUCCAACAGAGAUCUUGAGUGUGCCUUAAAAUUCCAUUUCAUGGAGAGCUGUGCUUGGUUGAAUUUUGAUUGAUUACUCAAUUAACUGAUUUAUUGGUAGAGUGAUUAAGAGAGAAGACUUUGGAAUCAGACCAACCUGGUUUUGAAUUCAAGCUCAGGAACUUACUAGGUCAAACCAGAAAGAUGACAAUGGAUGUGGCGAUAUUUUUGUUACUACUUUGAGAGAAAAACUCCUGAUGGUGCUGAUGUCCAAUGAAAUGAGACUGGGUUCUGGAAGAAUUUGGUAAGGAGGAGAAAAGAAAGAAGGAGAAAUUGGAAAGAUAAAUGGGGUCUUUCCAGUGAAGCUGCAGUUAUGGCAUUAACCUCCCAGUUGUUACCUACUUCUAGAUGAAAGCUCAAUUUUCCUACAUAAUUAAGAGUGUGAAGUUUGGGCAAUGUCAAGAAUCACAUCUGUACUGAAAUCAAUUAUCUGUGUUUGGUAAGUAGGGGAGAAAAUACUUGAUAGAUAUUUCUUAUCUGCAGCAAAUUCUCAUGUUCAUGUUUUAUCUUUGAUCUUCUUGAAGACUCACAGAAAAUUUCUAAGCAACACUUGAUUGUUUUGCCUAAACUGCUUUGUAUUUUGACCACAGGUUGGAGACUUACUUUUAUGAAUAUAAAUAUAAUCUACUCUACUCAAAACCAAGCAGUCUGAUUUUCUGCCAUUCUUUUUUACCUUUCCUUUUUAACUUUUAUUUUAGGUUUGGGGGUAUAUGUGAAGGUUUGUUACAUAGGUAAAUGUGUCAUGGGAGUUUGUUGUGCAUAUUAUUUCAUCAUUUGGGUAUCGAGCCCAGCACCCAGUAGUCAUCUUUUCUGCUCCUCUCCCUACUUCUACCCUUUCCACCUUCCACCCUUCUUAUCAUUUAGUUCCUACUUAUAAGUGAAAACAUGCAGUAUUUGAUUUUUUUGAUCCUGCAUUAGUUUGCUAAGGAUAAUAGCCUCCAGCUCCAUCCAUGUUCCCAUGAAAGACAUGAUCUCAUUCCUUUUUAAUGGCUACGUAGUAUUCCAUGGUAUAUACAUAGCACAUUUUGAUUAUACAAUCUGCCUUUGAUAGGUAUUAGGUUGAUUCUGCUAUUGUGAAGAGUGCUUCAGUGAACAUUUGUGUGCAUGUAUCUUUAUGGUA